CCUACGGGCGGCAGCAGUGAGGGAUAUUGGUCAAUGGGGGAAACCCUGAACCAGCAACGCCGCGUGAGGGAAGACGGUUUUCGGAUUGUAAACCUCUGUCCUCUGUGAAGAUAAUGACGGUAGCAGAGGAGGAAGCUCCGGCUAACUACGUGCCAGCAGCCGCGGUAAUACGGAGGAUUCGAGCGUUAUCCGGAUUUACUGGGUGUAAAGGGAGCGUAGACGGCAGCGCAAGUCUGGAGUGAAAUCCCAUGGCUUAACCAUGGAACUGCUUUGGAAACUGUGCAGCUAGAGUGCAGGAGAGGUAAGCGGAAUUCCUAGUGUAGCGGUGAAAUGCGUAGAUAUUAGGAGGAACACCAGUGGCGAAGGCGGCUUACUGGACUGUAACUGACGUUGAGGCUCGAAAGCGUGGGGAGCAAACAGGAUUAGAUACCCUUGUAGUC
rnacentral:rRNA from 1 species